AAGGGAGACCUAAUUCCGGUAGGAGACGAAAAAAAAGUAGUCCCAACCAAGAAUCAAUCCCAAAAGGUCGGAACGAGGUAUGAGGCUUUCAAACUAGGUUCUGGGUUCAUAAAAGACCUGAAUCAGGAACAAGUGCUAUUAGCUCAGGUGGUUAGAGCGCACCCCUGAUAAGGGUGAGGUCCCUGGUUCGAGUCCAGGAUGGCCCACCUGCACAGGUGGCAAAAACAAGAGAAGCUCCGAAUCAGCACCUUAUCUUAUAUACAUAUAUAAGAGAGAAUGCUGGCUCUGAGUACAGAGUCCAGAGGAACCUUGAAAACUGCAUAGAGCUAGGUGAAAAAGCCAAAAAAGAAGACCGCAA
rnacentral:tRNA from 1 species